rnacentral:rRNA from 1 species
CCUACGGGAGGCAGCAGCAAGGAAUUUUCCGCAAUGGGCGCAAGCCUGACGGAGCAACGCCGCGUGCGGGAUGACGCCUUUCGGGGUGUAAACCGCUGUUCGUGGGGACGAAGCACUGACGGUACCCACGGAGGAAGGCCCGGCUAACUACGUGCCAGCAGCCGCGGUAAUACGUAGGGGCCGAGCGUUGUCCGGAGUUACUGGGCGUAAAGCGUGCGCAGGCGAUCUGUCGCGCCCGGCGUGAAAGCCCCCGGCUCAACCGGGGAGGGUCGUCGGGGACGGGCAGACUUGAGGCAAUCAGGGGCUGGUGGAAUUCCCGGUGUAGUGGUGAAAUGCGUAGAGAUCGGGAGGAACACCCGUGGCGAAGGCGGCCAGCUGGGAGUGACCUGACGCUGAGGCACGAAGGCGUGGGGAGCGAACGGGAUUAGAUACCCCGGUAGUCCACGCAGUAAACGAUGCAGACUAGGCGUGGGGGGACUUGACCCCCUCCGUGCCGGAGCUAACGCGGGAAGUCUGCCGCCUGGGGAGUACGGCCGCAAGGCUAAAACUCAAAGGAAUUGACGGGGGCCCGCACAAGCGGCGGAGCGUGUUGUUUAAUUCGUCGCAACGCGAAGAACCUUAC